UGCUAAUCUGCGAUAAGCGCCGGUAAGGUGAUAUGAACCGUUAUAACCGGCGAUACCCGAAUGGGGAAACCCAGUGUGACUCGUCACACUAUCAUUAACUGAAUCCAUAGGUUAAUGAGGCGAACCGGGGGAACUGAAACAUCUAAGUACCCCGAGGAAAAGAAAUCAACCGAGAUUCCCCCAGUAGCGGCGAGCGAACGGGGAGGAGCCCAGAGCCUGAAUCAGCAUGUGUGUUAGUGGAAGCGUCUGGAAAGGCGCGCGAUACAGGGUGACAGCCCCGUACACAAAAGCGCAUGUGCUGUGAGCUCGAUGAGUAGGGCGGGACACGUGGUAUCCUGUCUGAAUAUGGGGGGACCAUCCUCCAAGGCUAAAUACUCCUGACUGACCGAUAGUGAACCAGUACCGUGAGGGAAAGGCGAAAAGAACCCCGGCGAGGGGAGUGAAAAAGAACCUGAAACCGUGU
rnacentral:rRNA from 1 species